UACGUAGGGGGCAAGCGUUAUCCGGAUUUACUGGGUGUAAAGGGAGCGUAGACGGCAGCGCAAGUCUGGAGUGAAAUGCCGGGGCUCAACCCCGGGACUGCUUUGGAAACUGUGCAGCUAGAGUGCGGGAGAGGUAAGCGGAAUUCCUAGUGUAGCGGUGAAAUGCGUAGAUAUUAGGAGGAACACCAGUGGCGAAGGCGGCUUACUGGACCGUAACUGACGUUGAGGCUCGAAAGCGUGGGGAGCAAACAGG
rnacentral:rRNA from 1 species